rnacentral:lncRNA from 1 species
CAGUAGUACACUGUUUCAGCUCCUAGGGGAGGUGGUCCUAUUUUAAUUUUUGACCACUUUAUUUUUAGCAACGGGGAGUCUCCUUUUUAAUUUAGUUAAAUUUUUUAAUGCUAAAAGAAACCUUCUGUGCUACAAACUCCCCACAUGAGCCCAGCUGAUGUGAGUAUUCAGCUCAGGGCAGCUGAGAACGGAGCACAGCCACAAACAGAAGCAGCAUCAACAAAUCAUACAGGAGCUGAAAGUUCAGAGAGGGAACAGAGAACUGACCUACGUGGAGCAGGAAGAGCUUCUGACCGAUCUUCAUGCUUUACAAUGAAAUCAGAGUGCACACUGUGCUUUUAUAACUAUGUUUAAAAAAG